CUCUGAUCUCACCCUAUUGCUCUACCAAAAUACGACAUUUUACUAUUAACUCCCCAUACAAAGUCGGAGACGAUCUCCCAACCCCCGCGACCCUCUUAGGUUAAGGGCCAACACUACCUACUAACCCAAGCAUAGCAAGCGCGACACAAAACCCACACUCAGGCACAGACAGACGCACAUAUACAAUUUUCACCGACGACGAACAACAGCACUUUACAAUCACCAACACCCUCCCUCAAACAACAGAGAGGAGUGCCACUUAACCACUCACAGGACCCAAGCAACAUAGACACAAUCACUCACAACCAGUUCACCCUAUGGGAACCUACCGCAUGGGCACACUCGACACAUUAGAAAACCAGAAAAAGUGCAGAAA